rfam:Methylobacterium nodulans ORS 2060, complete genome.
GCCAUGGGGAUGGCGAUCUCCUCACGAGGCUCCGGCCGAAGCAUCGCGUCCAAUCUGCUUCACUGCACGGACGCGCCAUG